rnacentral:rRNA from 1 species
UGGGGAAUCUUGGACAAUGGGCGAAAGCCUGAUCCAGCCAUGCCGCGUGUGUGAAGAAGGUCUUCGGAUUGUAAAGCACUUUAAGUUGGGAGGAAGGGUUGUAGAUUAAUACUCUGCAAUUUUGACGUUACCGACAGAAUAAGCACCGGCUAACUCUGUGCCAGCAGCCGCGGUAAUACAGAGGGUGCAAGCGUUAAUCGGAAUUACUGGGCGUAAAGCGCGCGUAGGUGGUUUGUUAAGUUGGAUGUGAAAUCCCCGGGCUCAACCUGGGAACUGCAUCCAAAACUGGCAAGCUAGAGUAUGGUAGAGGGUGGUGGAAUUUCCUGUGUAGCGGUGAAAUGCGUAGAUAUAGGAAGGAACACCAGUGGCGAAGGCGACCACCUGGACUGAUACUGACACUGAGGUGCGAAAGCGUGGGGAGCAAACAGGAUUAGAUACCCCCGUAGUCCCUGAGCGGGCUGGCAAGGCGCAU